rnacentral:lncRNA from 1 species
UGAACCUACAAAACAAAUGCAUGGUAUGAAGGCUUUUUGGCUCUGGUGGUAACUACUAAACAACUUCAUCUUAUUAGUUAUGCUAAUCAAUUUUAUGCUUUGAAUGAAAUGGGUAUGAGUUCUAAUAUUUGGAUCUAUAAUGAUGACACGCCUUCUAAGUAGCAACCAAGCAAAGAAUGAUGAGAUCAUGCAACGACUUUAGAAAACAACAAAUUCACAGAUUAUUAACUCUCCAAAGAAUGUUUAGGCUCAAGUCUCACAGGGUUGUAGCGUUAGUUUGAGUUCCUUCCUUCAAGCAUGUUACAAAAACUGAUUUUUUUUCCUUUGUGAUUACAUGUGAAUUCGUAAGUUAUAACCACAACCAAGCAUAAACCAAAGAGCAUAUCAAACUUCCAUCCAUGUUUACAACUCUCUUUAACAGUCAUGCAAUUAAAAACCAAAUCCUCAUCAUUGUGUUGGAAGGUACUCUAAGACACGAACAAACACACAAAAACGACUCUUUUUGGGUUUUUCAAAACAAUUUUUCAAAUUUUUAUGGGAUUUUCGGAUUUUCAUGUUAAAACACACUAAAAUGCUUCAAAACACACUAAAAACACUUAAAAACAUUGAAAAACAACCUUUGAAAUGUUAGGUGGUAAAAUCCUACGAAUUUU